GAGAGAUGGCUCAAAGGUUAAGAGCACUGACUGCUCUUCCAGAGGUCCUGAGUUCAAUUCCCAGCAACCACAUGGUGGCUCACAACCAUCUGUAAUGAGAUCUGGUGCCCUCUUGUGGUGUGCAGAUAUACAUGGAAGCAGAAUGUUGUAUACAUAAUAAAUAAAUAAAAUCUCUAAAAAAAAAAAAAAAGAAUUGUAAAGUGGGACUGGAUUGAUGGCUCAGUGGUUAAGAGCACUGGCUGCUUUUCCAGAGAUCCUGAGUUCAAUUCCCAGCACCCACAUGGUGGCUCACAACCAUCUGUAAUGAGAUCUAGUGCCCUCCUCUGGCCUGCAGGUGUACAUGCAGAGCAUUGUAUACAUAAUAAAUAAAUCUUUAAAAAAAAAGAAUUGUAAAGUAAGAAUUACAUUUACAAUAUCCAG
rnacentral:lncRNA from 1 species